AUGGAGCUCAGUCUCAGACCCCUCGCUGCCAUGUGCAUCCUGCUCGCCGCCGUCGUCGCCGCCGCGCCGGCGGCGGCCACGGAGGUGGAGGUGGAGGUGGAGGUCGAGACGACGGAUGCACAGUCCUCCUACAUCGUGCACGUCGCGGCCGGGCACGCGCCACGGCUGCCGCGCCGCGGCCUGCUGACCACCCGUGCGUACGGCUCUUUCUUGCGCGACCACAUCCCCGUCGAGCUCUCCACCCCGGCGCCGAGGGUGCUAUACUCCUACUCGCACGCUGCCACGGGCUUCGCUACGCGCCUCACCGUGCGCCAGGCCGCGCGACUCGCGUCCUCAGGCUCCGUGCUCGCCGUCGUGCCCGACGUGAUGCAGGAGCUGCACACCACCCUGACGCCGUCCUUCCUCGGCCUCUCGCCGACUUCUGGGCUGCUCCCGGCGUCCAACGGCGCCACGGACGUCGUCAUCGCGGUCAUCGACACCGGCGUGUACCCGGAAGGCCGCGCGUCCUUCGCCGCCGACCCGUCGCUCCCGCCGCCGCCCAGCAAGUUCCGUGGCGGGUGCGUCUCGGGACCGUCGUUCAACGGCUCCGCGCUCUGCAACAACAAACUCGUCGGCGCCAAGUUCUUCCAUAGCGGGCUGGAGGCUGCACGCGGCCGUGCGCUCGCCGAGGACUUGGAGUCACCGCUCGACACCAACGGCCAUGGCACCCACACCGCCUCCACCGCCGCCGGCUCUGCUGUUGCGGACGCCGCCUUCUUCGACUACGCCAGAGGAAAUGCCGUCGGCAUGGCCCCGGGCGCGCGCAUUGCCGUCUACAAGGCGUGCUGGGAGGAAGGGUGCGCGAGCUCUGACAUCCUCGCCGCGUUUGAUGAGGCCAUCGCGGACGGUGUAGACGUUAUCUCUGUCUCCCUCGGCGCCGUAGGCAACGCCCCGGAAUUUUAUGACGACACGACCGCCGUGGGCGCGUUCCGCGCGGUCAGCAAGGGCAUCGUCGUCUCCGCCUCCGCGGGAAACUCUGGUCCCGGAGAUUCCACCGCAUGCAACAUAGCGCCAUGGUUCUUGACGGUCGGCGCGUCCACACUCAACCGCCAAUUCCCGGCCGACGUCAUCCUCGGCAACGGCGAGACAUUCACGGGAACUUCUCUCUACGCCGGGGAGCCGCUCGGUGCGAGCAAGAUACCAUUGGUCUACGGAGGAGACGUGGGCUCGAAUGUGUGCGAAGAAGGGAAGCUCAACGCCACCAUGGUAGCCGGGAAGAUCGUCUUGUGCGAUCCCGGCGUGAACGCCCGUUCAGCGAAACCAUAUGCUGUCAAGCUCGCCGGUGGCGCUGGAGCAAUCCUCGCUAGCGCCGAAGUAUACGGCGAGCAAGCCAUCAGCAGCCCCCAUAUCCACCCCGCCACGGCCAUCCCAUUUGCCGCCGCCGAAAAGAUCAGGAAGUACAUAAGCGCGCAAACAUCCCCUACCGCGACGAUCGUGUUCCGGGGCACCGUGGUCGGCCCGACGCCUCCUUCUCCUAGAAUGGCGGCCUUCUCGAGCCGCGGCCCGAACUUCCGUGCGCCGGAAAUCUUCAAGCCAGACGUGACCGCACCCGGCGUGGACAUCCUCGCCGCUUGGACAGGCGCCAACUCACCCACGGAGCUCGAGAGCGACACGAGGCGGGUGAAGUACAACAUCAUAUCGGGCACGUCCAUGUCAUGCCCACACGUGAGCGGCAUCGCAGCGCUGCUCCGGCAGGCGAGGCCAGAGUGGAGCCCGGCGGCCAUCAAGUCCGCGCUGAUGACCACCGCGUACAACGUGGACAGCUCCGGCGGCGUCAUCGGUGACAUGUCCACCGGUGAACCGUCCACACCGUUCGCGCGCGGGGCCGGACAUAUCGACCCCAACCGCGCCGUCGACCCGGGGCUCGUGUACGACGCCGGCGCGGAGGACUACAUCACCUUCCUGUGCGCACUGGGCUACACGGCGGAGCAGGUCGCCGUGUUCGGCUCGGCCACGUACAGGGCCAAGGUGACUGCCCCGGACGGCGUGCGCGUCACGGUGAUCCCCCGGACGCUGCGGUUCACCGCGACACAGAAGACGCGGGAGUACGUGGUCACCUUUGCACAGCGAAUCUUCGGGAGCGUCACGAAGAAUCACACGUUUGGGUCGAUCGAGUGGAGCGACCGCAAGCACACGGUGACGAGCCCCAUCGCCAUUACCUGGCCAGCGAGCCAGGUUGCGGAGAUGUGA
rnacentral:rRNA from 1 species